GUGGCUUUGUUGGAGGAAGUGAGUCACCGGGGAUGGGCUUUGAGGUUUCAAAAGCUCAAACCAGGCCUAGUGUUUCAUCGUCUCUUCCCCACUGCCUGUGGAUCCAGAUGAAGAACUUUCAGCCACUUCUGCAACCCCAUGUCUACCUGUGAGCCACCAUGCUUCCCGCCAUGAUGAUAACGGACUGAACAUCUGAACCUGGAAUGGCACUAUUAGGAGAUGCGGUCUUGUUGGAGGAAGUGUGUUACUGUGGGGACAGGCUUUGAGGUCUCCUAUGCCCAAGUUCCUCCUAACGUAGAAGCCAGUCUCCUCCUGACUGCCUUCAGAUGAAGAUGUAGAACUCUCAGCUCCUCCUGCACCAGGCCUGCCUGGAUGCUGCCAUGUUCCUGCCUUGAUGAUAAUGGACUAAACCUCUGAACCUGUGAGCCAACCCCAUAAAUGUUGUCCUGUAUAAGCCUGUCAUAGCCAUAGUGUCUGCUCACAGCAAUGAAACCCUAACUAAGGCAGUGAGGCUAGAUUCAAGAGUUAGAGGUGAGUGGCUUUGGCAAAAGACAAUUCCAAACGUCAUCUGAAAGCGUCACUUGUGCUGUGUGGCUAUGAAUGGCCUCUUAUGCAGAUUGAUGGAAACGAGCAAACUGAGCAAGGAGAAGUAAAAAUGUACAGCCUGAGAGAAAAGAGCUCCCAGAAGUGUAAACAGACUAUGGAAAAUCCUGGCGGGUAACGGGAUAAAGGGAGCGGUGACCUCAGAGCAAAGCCCCACCCAGCCAAGCUUCCAACUUGUGAAAAUAAUUACAGAAAAGUGAAAAGGAAUGAAAGGACAGGGCUGGGCGUGGUAGUGCAAACCUUUAAUCCCAGCACUCAGGCAGAGGCUGGCCAAGUUCAAGAUCAGCUGGGUCAACAGCUGAGUGCCGGGAUACCCAAGCUUACGAAGUGAAGGAAAGCAUUGGAUGGAAUCAGAAAGCUGGUGGAGAUGUAUUUGAACAAGGGGCCAUGUUCCAGCCAUAAAAGCAUAGCAGCUCCAGCCACACGGUGCUGGCCUUAGAGUUUAGAGCACAGAAGAAAGAGGUUAUAGAAUCUCCCUCUGUGACUAAGGAAAGCCACUGAGGGCAGGUGUGUGGCUGGGUGUCCCUGCUGGGAGGCCAAGAGAGGCCAUUUCGUAAAGCUAUGAGGCUGAAGCCAGGAUUGCGUUGGAGACCCCAAGAGUUUGGAGAUGUCAGAACUAUGGGAUAUUUGCUGAGGGAGUGGCCACAGGGAGUGGAACCAGCCCAAGAGACAGAAGUGUGGUGCCGUCAACGGAGUCGAAAGGAGUUGGAGAUCUGAAGAGUGCCUUGACAUCAGACAUGGAGAUGCAGAGUUUGGAGUUUGCCCCGAUGGUUUUCAGUCUUUCCUUGGUCCAGUGUUUCCUCACUAUGCCCCCUUUCCUCUGUUUUGGAAAGGUAGCCCUUGCGCCACUGUAUGUUGGAUGUAUGGGACCUGCCUUUCAUUUUGAUUUUAUAGGGGAUGACAGUUAAGAGACUGCAUGAAUUUCUGAAGAGACUUUGAACUUUGGACUUUUAAACAUUGGAGAAGCUGUGGUGGAGGAUGAGGAAUAUUAUAAUGCAGUCUUGCAUUAUAAUACGACCAGGCUAUGGGGGGCUGAGCAGUGGAAUAAAGUGGUUUGAAUAAAAAUGGCCUCCAUA